UACAGAGGGGGCAAGCGUUAUUCGGAAUUAUUGGGCGUAAAGGGCGCGUAGGCGGCUUGGCAAGUGGAUGGUGAAAUCCCUCGGCUUAACCGAGGAACGGCCGUCCAAACUGCUUCGCUUGAGACCGGGAGAGGUGAGUGGAAUUCCCAGUGUAGCGGUGAAAUGCGUAGAUAUUGGGAGGAACACCAGUGGCGAAGGCGGCUCACUGGACCGGUACUGACGCUGAAGCGACGAAAGCGGUGGGGAGCAAACGGGG
rnacentral:rRNA from 1 species